GGUGUAAUAUGUACCGUCGCNAUCUCGCGGAUCGUNAACAAUGAAGCUCGCAGCGAGAAGCAAGGAGUAGUGUAAAUUCCAAAUCCACCUUGAACCUUGGCAUGUUCAUGGCGCNUGACGGAUUACNGGGACUCCAGG
rnacentral:rRNA from 1 species